GUAAUUGAAGUAAUAAUCAAACAAUGUGUUAGAUACAGAGGCAAGGGAAAAAGGCAAGUCCGAACAUGUCUGGACUUGCCCCAGAGCUGUGUCCCAAUUAAGGAUCUGAAACUAAGAUGGUCACGAGGAAAGUAAGGGAGGGAAGCAGGGUAUAUGUGGGAAUGGCUGGGACUUUCCGAUGAGGUAGUUGCAUGCUCAAGAGGUCACGUACGCCUUAUAGAGGCAUGGGUUGAAAGGGUAUAUAAGGCCAAGGGGACCAAGAAGAGAGGUCUGGCACCCUGGAGCCAUGGGGAAGUUGAGACUUCGCACCGCCAGAAGGGACAAGACCCCUUGACCCUCAGCCCUGGUUCCUGAUUUGGCUGCCUUACUCUGCCUCAACCCUAGGAUCUCAAAGUUGCAGCAACAGACUUGGAGAAAAGACAAAGGUGACUGAGUGAUGAAGAUCUGACAUGUUCGAAGGACAACAGCCAGGCACUCGUGAUGUCCAUCCGCUGGUUGGAGCCAACAGCCUUCGUGGAGAUGUGCUGUCCAACACUCCUGGUGUCAGACUUCAUCUGCACCUUGGAUCCAUCUCUUUUGAUCUGGAAUCACAGGAAAACAUCCCUGUAAAACACAAGUCUUCUUGAAGGAUGAAGACUACUGUACAGACACAUUGCAAAGUGACAUCAAGAUCCUGACCCCCUGCUCCCUGCUGGAGGGCAAGAAAUGUUUUUUUUGCUGUCAAGUUGUCAACAUAACCCAGUAAAUUCUAAAUGUAGGAGUGAUAUAUAAAACAAAA